AGGCCAUUAACUCAGGUGGUUAGAGCGCACCCCUGAUAAGGGUGAGGUCCCUGGUUCAAGUCCCGGAUGGCCCA
rnacentral:tRNA from 1 species